UUUUUUGUCAUUUAAUUCCUAUUAUUAUUAGGUUUGUGCUAGAUUAUUAGGGUUAGUAAUAUUUAGAAUUAGGAAAAAGGAAAAUAAGAAGAGGAGGAGAAGAAAAGAAGAAAAAGGAGAAUAAGAAGAGGAGGAGAGGAGAAGAAGAGGAAAAAAUAGAAGAAGAGGAGAAGUAGAAGAAGAGAAAAAAUUAGAAGAGG
rnacentral:lncRNA from 1 species